GCUUCUAAAUUUAAAGCAGUCUAUUCGUGUAACCAAACGCGCAUGCGCAAUAAUUAACUUCCGCGUAUGCUCUCACGCACGACGGUCAAACGUUAACUGAGACAAGCAUGGUGUAGUAAACAUGAAGCGCUCGCAGAUAAAUGAGCUCACCGCUCUCGGCGAUCCUCCACGCCGCAGCAUCCUCGCUGUCCAAGCCACUAAACGCAAGGAACCGAAAUCGACUGAGCUUUGCAGCGCUUUGGUGAAACGUCACCUUAGAGUAUCGAUCGAGUUCAGCUAGACGAGGUCGCGUCCUUCGGACGCGCCUUAUUGGCGGCAGAACGAAUACACGCCGGAAGCACGUAUUAUUUUGUGAAAAUAAAAGUGAUUAACAAA